GUGCACGCUGGCGGUAGGCCUAACGCAUGCAAGUCGAACGGCAGCACAGUAAGAGCUUGCUCUUACGGGUGGCGAGUGGCGGACGGGUGAGGAAUACAUCGGAAUCUACUUUUUCGUGGGGGAUAACGUAGGGAAACUUACGCUAAUACCGCAUACGACCUACGGGUGAAAGCAGGGGAUCUUCGGACCUUGCGCGAUUGAAUGAGCCGAUGUCGGAUUAGCUAGUUGGCGGGGUAAAGGCCCACCAAGGCGACGAUCCGUAGCUGGUCUGAGAGGAUGAUCAGCCACACUGGAACUGAGACACGGUCCAGACUCCUACGGGAGGCAGCAGUGGGGAAUAUUGGACAAUGGGCGCAAGCCUGAUCCAGCCAUACCGCGUGGGUGAAGAAGGCCUUCGGGUUGUAAAGCCCUUUUGUUGGGAAAGAAAAGCAGCAGGUUAAUACCCCGCUGUUCUGACGGUACCCAAAGAAUAAGCACCGGCUAACUUCGUG
rnacentral:rRNA from 1 species